rnacentral:rRNA from 1 species
AAUGCUAAAAGAAUGGAAGUUUAAGAAAAAACUUUUUUAAAAAUAAAAAUUAAAUUUUUUUUAAUUUGUGCAAAACCAAUUAUUUAUAUUAAAGACAAGAAGACCCUAUGAAUUUAUGAUUAAAUAAACUAAAAAUUUUUAGUUUAUUUAAUCUUGAUUGGGGCAAUCAAAAAAUAUUAAUAACUUUUUUAAAUUUAAAUGAUCUAUUAUUAAUAAUCUAAUGGAAUAAAUACUCUAGGGAUAACAGCGUA